rnacentral:rRNA from 1 species
AGGAAAGCAGGGGAUCGCAACGACCUUGNCGCUUUUGGAGCGGCCGAUGUCUGAUUAGCUAGUUGGUGAGGUAAAGGCUUACCAAGGCUUCGAUCAGUAGCUGGUCUGAGAGGACGACCAGCCACACUGGGACUGAGACACGGCCCAGACUCCUACGGGAGGCAGCAGUGGGGAAUUUUGGACAAUGGGGGAAACCCUGAUCCAGCCAUGCCGCGUGAGUGAAGAAGGCCUUCGGGUUGUAAAGCUCUUUCAGCCGGAACGAAACGGUCACGGCUAAUACCUGUGAUCACUGACGGUACCGGAAGAAGAAGCACCGGCUAACUACGUGCCAGCAGCCGCGGUAAUACGUAGGGUGCGAGCGUUAAUCGGAAUUACUGGGCGUAAAGCGUGCGCAGGCGGUUUUGUAAGUCAGAUGUGAAAUCCCCGGGCUCAACCUGGGAACUGCGUUUGAAACUACAAAGCU